GUACUAGAGUAGCACUCGCAUAUCAAUAAGCGGAGGAAAAGAAACUAACAAGGAUUCCCCUAGUAACGGCGAGUGAAGCGGGAAGAGCUCAAAUUUGAAAUCUUAAAGGGUUUCCCUUUACGAAUUGUAGUUUAAGGAAGUGUUUUCUGUUGAGGUUUUGGUAAAAGUUCUUUGGAAUAGGACAUCAUAGAGGGUGAGAAUCCCGUAUUUGACCUUUACUUUCAACUUUGUGAUACACUUUCAAAGAGUCGGAUUGUUUGGGAAUGCAGUCCAAAAUGGGUGGUAAAUUUCAUCUAAAGCUAAAUAUUGGCGAGAGACCGAUAGCGAACAAGUACCGUGAGGGAAAGAUGAAAAGAACUUUGAAAAGAGAGUUAAACAGUACGUGAAAUUGUCAAAAGGGAAGCGUUUGACACCAGUGUUGUUUUUCUGAAAAUCAAUUAAAGAACUGUUUAUGCUAAGUUGUUUAGACUUUAUCAGCUAUCUGUUUAGUUUUGAGCUUCUCUUUAAUGCACUUUUCAGUUAACAAGUCAACAUCAAUUUCUUUUGCUGUAAAAAAGCUUGAGGAAGGUGGCCUGAGAUUCGUCUUAAGUGUUUAUAGCCUCUUGCCUAUGCAGUCGGAGAGAUUGAGGUCUGCAGCGUAGAUCCUUCGGGGCUAAAUGCAUUUGUGCUAAGUUAUAGCAUUUUAUAGACAACUUGUUGACUAUGAUUUGUCUUGUAGCUUACUCGCUUAUGUUAUUUUACCUACGCUUAGGAUGUUGAACUCUAUCACACACAG
rnacentral:rRNA from 1 species